GCAAACCAAGGGGCGAACUGAGAGCAACUUGGGAGAGAGACUAACGGAGAGCAAUCCAGUAGUGUGAAAUGAAGCGUGAAAAAACGAGAUUGAAGCAAGAGGUGGGCGUAGGGGCGAAACUGGGAGCUCGUUGUUUCCCUUGUGAUUGCGGAAGAAAUCGAAGGGAAGGGCAUUUGUUCAAGGAAGCGAGGAGAAAGAGUCUUGAGUUUCUUCCUACAAGCUUUGAGAUUGUUUGCAAGCGACAACAACAAGAAACUGAUCUAGGGCAUCGUUGGAGAGGGCAGUUUUGCAAGAAAUUGAGGACGAAGAAAGAAUCUAGAGCUACAACAAGGUGGAGGUAGAUCAGUGAACUAUUCUUUCUUCCUCAUAAUAGAUCAGAUUCAAGAUGAUCAGGUAUGGGGAAGGGUAAGGAGCGAGCCGAAUAGUUUUGGUAUCAGACUCUAAUCUAUGUUGUAAGUAUGUUUUAGUUGGUUUUUGUAUAGGCUUGGCUUUUAUGUUUGUUGUAUUCUCUAUUGUCAAACGUUGUUGUAGAUAUACCUCGGAUUGUAUAUGUAUUUUUUGAUGAUAAUAGAAAAAUUAUUUUUGAGAUUCAAUCUUUCA